GUCCCCUCUCCCCCCUCCCCACCUUCCCUCGCCCUAAUCCCCCAACGAGGAAGGAAGGAGCAGUUGGUUCAAUCUCUGGAUGGAGUCUCAUUCUCUUGCCCAGGCUAGAGUGUGGUGGUGCAUCUCGGCUUACUGCAAACUCCGUCUCCUGGGUUCAAGCAGUUCUCCUGCCUCAGCUUCCCAAGUAGCUGGGAUUACAGUAAUCUAUGCCAGCAAUUAUGACAAUGUUAGCAGACCAUGCAGCUCGUCAGCUGCUUGAUUUCAGCCAAAAACUGGAUAUCAACUUAUUAGAUAAUGUGGUGAAUUGCUUAUACCAUGGAGAAGGAGCCCAGCAAAGAAUGGCUCAAGAAGUACUGACACAUUUAAAGGAGCAUCCUGAUGCUUGGACAAGAGUCGACACAAUUUUGGAAUUUUCUCAGAAUAUGAAUACGAAAUACUAUGGACUACAAAUUUUGGAAAAUGUGAUAAAAACAAGGUGGAAGAUUCUU
rnacentral:lncRNA from 1 species